AUUGAACGCUGGCGGCAGGCCUAACACAUGCAAGUCGAACGGUAACAGGAAGCAGCUUGCUGCUUCGCUGACGAGUGGCGGACGGGUGAGUAAUGUCUGGGAAACUGCCUGAUGGAGGGGGAUAACUACUGGAAACGGUAGCUAAUACCGCAUAACGUCGCAAGACCAAAGAGGGGGACCUUAGGGCCUCUUGCCAUCGGAUGUGCCCAGAUGGGAUUAGCUAGUAGGUGGGGUAACGGCUCACCUAGGCGACGAUCCCUAGCUGGUCUGAGAGGAUGACCAGCCACACUGGAACUGAGACACGGUCCAGACUCCUACGGGAGGCAGCAGUGGGGAAUAUUGCACAAUGGGCGCAAGCCUGAUACAGCCAUGCCGCGUGUAUGAAGAAGGCCUUCGGGUUGUAAAGUACUUUCAGCGGGGAGGAAGGGAGUAAAGUUAAUACCUUUGCUCAUUGACGUUACCCGCAGAAGAAGCACCGGCUAACUCCGUG
rnacentral:rRNA from 1 species